AUACGUAGGGGGCGAGCGUUGUCCGGAAUGAUUGGGCGUAAAGGGCGCGUAGGCGGCCCGGUAAGUCUGGAGUGAAAGUCCUGUUUUUAAGAUGGGAAUUGCUUUGGAUACUGUCGGGCUUGAGUGCAGGAGAGGUAAGUGGAAUUCCCAGUGUAGCGGUGAAAUGCGUAGAGAUUGGGAGGAACACCAGUGGCGAAGGCGACUUACUGGACUGUAACGGACGCUGAGGCGCGAAAGUGUGGGGAGCAAACAGGAUUAGAUACCCUGGUAGUCCACACUGUAAACGAUGAAUGCUAGGUGUAGGGGGUAUCGACCCCUUCUGUGCCGCAGUCAACACAAUAAGCAUUCCGCCUGGGGAGUACGGCCGCAAGGUUGAAACUCAAAGGAAUUGACGGGG
rnacentral:rRNA from 1 species